GAUGAACGCUGGCGGCGUGCUUAAUACAUGCAAGUCGAGCGAAGCGCUUUAACGGAAUUCUUCGGGAGGAAGAUAAAGUGACUGAGCGGCGGACGGGUGAGUAACGCGUGGGUAACCUGCCUCAUACAGGGGGAUAACAGUUAGAAAUGGCUGCUAAUACCGCAUAAGCGCACAGGACCGCAUGGUCUGGUGUGAAAAACUCCGGUGGUAUGGGAUGGACCCGCGUUGGAUUAGGUAGUUGGUGGGGUAACGGCCUACCAAGCCGACGAUCCAUAGCCGGCCUGAGAGGGUGGACGGCCACAUUGGGACUGAGACACGGCCCAGACUCCUACGGGAGGCAGCAGUAGGGAAUAUUGCACAAUGGGGGAAACCCUGAUGCAGCGACGCCGCGUGAAGGAAGAAGUAUCUCGGUAUGUAAACUUCUAUCAGCAGGGAAGACAAUGACGGUAC
rnacentral:rRNA from 1 species